GCAACCCUCGGCACUUUUUUUUUUUAGAUUUUUUACUUUCCAGUUUUUGUUACCCAGACAACAGCGAGAGUCCUGCGGCUGCGGACAACCCUUUUGGCACUCUACGAAAGGGUUUUCCACAAGUUCAUUGCGAUCGACUCACUUUUAAUUUGCAUUUUGUUGGGAUUUCGGAAAUCAAGUUCUAAACUUACCCCAGACAGAUUCCAAACCAGAUCCCAAAUGCCACGUUUUUUAUGCGCAAGGGUUAAAAACUUUUCAGCCGGAGACAGAAAAAAACGUGGGUACUCCAGCAUGUGCUCGGGCAGAAUAAUUUGGAUUGA